rnacentral:ncRNA from 1 species
UGAAUAGUUUUAUUCUAGCUGUAAAUAAUUAUUAUAGAAUGGUUUAACAUACAAAUUAAAAAGAUUUAAGAAAAAUUGUUGGUAGUUUUUAAUAUUGUCAAAUUAAGGGAGUUUAGAGAGAAAAAAUUUUAUAGUAUUGGAUAAAGGUGUGCCAGCUUCCGCGGUUAUACACUAAAUGCAAAUAAUUAAUAUAAGUAGAAGUUAAUAGACAAGAUAAUAUGAAUUAAAGAAUUAUUGAUGAAAUGAUAUAUUGUUUAAUAAAAUUAAAUUAGUUUAUGAGGCUUAGUAAUUUAAAAUGGAAACUAGGAUUAGAUACCCUAUUAUUUUAAGAGAAUGUUAUAUAGACUUAGGUAGUUAUAGUUAUGGGCUUAAAACCUAAAGAAUUUGGCGGUGUUUUAGUCCGUUCAGAGGAAUCUGUCCUGUAAUUGAAAGUACACGAGGAGAAUUACUUAAUUUAAUCAGUUUGUAUACCGCCGUUGUAAGAAUAUUUUAGGAGGGUAAAAAAUUUUCGGAAUAGAGUAUUAUCUAAUAUAUCAGGUCAAGGUGCAGCUUAUAGUUAAGAAGAGAUGGAUUACAAUAAUUGAAAUUAUAACGGAAUGUUGAAAUAGAAAAUUAUGAAGGUGGAUUUGAAAGUAAAUAUUAUUCUUAUGGUAUUGAUUUUGGCACUGAAACAUGCACACAUCGCCCGUCGCUCUCAUUUAAGGUGAGAUAAGUCGUAACAAAGUAGGUGUAUUGGAAAAUGUACCUGGAAUG